rnacentral:piRNA from 1 species
UUCUUGUUGGUGUGUGGUGGUUGACAGU